CUACGCUUGAUCAGCUUUGACCCACUUCCCGUGAUCAAAGGAAUUUCCCUACAAUACUCACACUUUCCACUGUGAUCUCACAAUGCCUCCUUUCACUAUUCCAGUGAAACAGACAGGAUGCCGGCAAAAACUACUGAAUUUCGUCAUAACCGUGAGAAAAGUUUUUUCGUUCAUGUUAGGAUGACGUUUGGUACUUUCUGUUUGCAUCAGAAUUUCAUUAUAACGAAUAAAAUUGCGAUCCGAUUCGUGCCGCAUCUGUAUCUUGCAGCCGCUUAGUCCUAGUAGGUAUCGCACUUAUACCGUGGGAAUUAGGGAGCUAUUUACCAAAAGUCAACCAUUAUUCAGUACUUCGUAAUAGUACAUAGACUGCCCCCACUCGCUAUAACGCGAGUAGGGGCAUGUCUACUAAACAGUGAGCAGGCUAUGGCUGCUUAUUGUUGUAAAAAAAAGAACCCCACCCCAACGAUAAAGUGCUCUAUGGUGGGGCAUCUAUUAACUAGAGUGGGGGCUAUUUAACUAAACAGGGGACAUAAGGUCCCCCUUGAGCCCCAUCCAUGAGGUUCUAAAUGACUGUAAGGGGGGGGCUAUUGUCCCUGACACCCACCAAUGAAAGGCAGGUGAGGGCCCUAAUUGACAAUACAGGGGUGGACCAACUGGGGAGCCCAAUGUAAAACUACAGUGCGUGACUAGGGGUCCCCAAGCCCCUAGUCUCCUCCUGCCCCCCACCCCAAAAAAAAAACUAUGUACCUCACCCUAAAAAUAGUGAGGAGGGGGAAACAAUGAAACUAAUUGUAAAUAAAAAAAAUAUUUACCAUUUGAUGUCAUUUCUUUUUCUAAAACCUUUUUUCAGCCCCAAAAAAGGCCAAAUUAAAUUCCAUAAAGCCAGUCGAAUUUAUAAAAUAAAAAAAGCAUAAGAAGUAGUAGAGGUAGUAAAGCCAGAGAGCACUGAGUCAAAUUGCCAUAAGUGGGAAGGCUUUAUAAGUCUCUGCGGUGCCCUCACUGAGUGAAGAUUAAAUAUUUUUUUAGCAUCGGGAUUCCCCCUCCCCCCCCCCUUUUUUGGGGACUGAAAAAAAAGAAUCAGAUGGUAAGUAUUAAAUAAAUGUAUUAUUUUUAUUGUCCCCACUCACUUUUUGGGUGAGGGGGUAGAUAGGGAUUUAUUUUAUAUUUUUGGGGAGCGGUGUGUGACUAGAGGUUUGGGAAUAUUUUUAUAUUUGGUUCCCAUCUGCUCGUGGGUGGGGGACAAUAGGUCCUCCCUUCCAUUGUCAUUUAGGGCCUUCACCCGUUGCUCAUGGGUGGGGGCCAGAAGGGGACACAACAGGCCCUCCCCUUUGUCAUUUAGGGCCUCCACCUGCCACUCAUGGGUGGGAGCCUGGGGGGACAAUAGGUUUUAACCCCUUCAGUGCAGCAUGAGGGUGGGGUGCAAGGAAGGGGAGCACUGUAGGAACCUAUAGUGCCAGGAAAGCAGCUUUGUUUUCCUGGCACUAUAGGAUCCUUUUAAGGGACAUGAGAUAAACCUUUUUCCAUUAAAUCCUAUAACAAAAACUAACUCAGUUGAACAUUUACUAGUUCUUAGUUUAUGUAAUUUAUGAAUUUUAUUUUUAUUUUAUUUAUUGUCCAACAUACCAAGUAAGAGUGUGGUUCUCUGCACCAAAACACUGAUUUUAUAUAUUUUUUUCUGGGUAGUUUCAAAGUCAUGCAUUGUAACGUAGUAUGUUCCACUGUCAUUCAGUUGGAUAUUUUUCAGAAAGAGGGAACCAUUUCUGCAGGAGAAUUCCACUUUGCCUUUAAACCGGGGGUAUAUUGUGGCUUUACCAUCUGUCCAUAUGGGAAAACCUUGAGGAUUGAGGCUUGCAUUAAGCAAUGCAUAAAAAACGAUGUUAUAUUCACCAGCACUCCACUGUAUUGCUGGCCAGUAUUUGACAGGAAGAGAGAUGGUAUAAGAGGUUGGAAGGAGAACGUUCUGACCAACUGUGGAAUUGAUCGAAUCCUGAUGAACAACCAGCUCAUGUCC
rnacentral:lncRNA from 1 species